rnacentral:rRNA from 1 species
AGUGAACGCUGGCGGUAGGCCUAACACAUGCAAGUCGAACGGCAGCACAGUAAGAGCUUGCUCUUACGGGUGGCGAGUGGCGGACGGGUGAGGAAUACAUCGGAAUCUACUUUUUCGUGGGGGAUAACGUAGGGAAACUUACGCUAAUACCGCAUACGACCUACGGGUGAAAGCAGGGGAUCUUCGGACCUUGCGCGAUUGAAUGAGCCGAUGUCGGAUUAGCUAGUUGGCGGGGUAAAGGCCCACCAAGGCGACGAUCCGUAGCUGGUCUGAGAGGAUGAUCAGCCACACUGGAACUGAGACACGGUCCAGACUCCUACGGGAGGCAGCAGUGGGGAAUAUUGGACAAUGGGCGCAAGCCUGAUCCAGCCAUACCGCGUGAGUGAAGAAGGCCUUCGGGUUGUAAAGCCCUUUUGUUGGGAAAGAAAAGCAGCAGGUUGAUACCCCGCUGUUCUGACGGUACCCAAAGAAUAAGCACCGGCUAACUUCGUG